GUCAGCAAUGGAGAUUUCUGAGAUAGUGAUAUUGGUAGUAGCCAGCGAGCCUAAUGUUUUUUUUAGGGGAUUACUGGCCAUUUGGCCAAGCUCCGCAUGAAUGGCUCUGCCUCGUGCGCCUAUAUCUGGGCCCAGCACCCUCCUGGGCCGGCUGCUGGACCUGGGCCGUCGAGCGCUUUCAUCAGUUACGUACUCCACGUUUUGUGAUUUUUUUGAUGCCCUUUAUUCCGCCGAAGCCUCCCAGAGGCUGCCCAGCGCCUCCCCGCCGUUCUUCCUCCGCCGCUCGGUACUUGCCGUCGUUGCCUCCGCCGCGCUCCAACUCCUCCUCCUCCUACUCUCCUUCCCCGCGGCGCGCCGAGUCCCUCCUCCUCCGCCCAGCAACUGCUACGGCCGCCACCAGGUUCUACUCGUUCGAUCUGGUCACCGAGGCCGGCCUUCACCGAGGGUCUCUUGUAUGGAGAAAUGACACUAUUGCUUCUCUGCAAAUUAUAUUUCAACAGGCUCUAUACUAUUGCUUCUCUGCUGGAGCGUGAGAGUUUUACCCAUAAAAUGCGUGAUGGGUGGGGGCUGGCUACUGAUGGGAAAGUUCUUUUUGGCACAGAUGGUACUUCAAGUUUGUAUCAAAUGGAUCCGAAAUCUCUUCAAGCCAUGAAGACGGUAACAUGAAGUAUCAAGACAAUGACGUUCAUAUAUUAAUGAGCUGGAAUAUAUAGAUGGUGAAGUAUGGGAAAAUGUCUUGCAGGCAGCACUUGCGGAGUCCUGGUAAUUUGGCCGCUCUUGAUGUUCUAAACGGUAUAGCUUGGGAUGAAGAAAACAAUAGAUUGUUCGUGACCGGAAAAUUGUGGCCAACACUUCACGAGAUUAAGCUACGACCUGUUGACGGGCCACCAGAUGGGUCUGUAGAGAAGCUAUGCCCAAGAAUUAUAAUACCGGAUUUCGAAAAUUGACCAGACAGAGCAGGACGGUAGUCGAUGACCAGGCAACAACGGUCGGUUAUCAGUGUAUGUCUUCCUGGUAUGUUCCAACUGCCUCUAUUUAAGAGCUGCUUAUUAGUUUCAGGUCAGAACCGGGCAUAGCUGUAUAUAUAAGCAUUCCUCCCUGAUGUGAAUUAAGGUUGCAUCCUGCAAGGAUAUUAAAAUCAACAAAUAUGCAGAAGAGAUAUAGUGUGGUGGCCCGUCACGGCGAAAUAUACCGUUUUGCGUGUUAAGCGCUGAGACUAAAUAAGUGGUGAUUCGGAGGACCACACCGUUCACAUCUGGGAAAAUGCUAUAUAUCUGCAAUCUUAUAUUAGCUUGUCGAUAAUUAAUUUUCCUGGAAAAAAUGUUCACUGCAGCAUGAUUUUUGGAUGGAAAAUGUCUCACAAUAUA